rnacentral:tRNA from 1 species
CGCGGGGUGGAGUAGUCCGGUAGCUCGUCGGGCUCAUAACCCGAAGGUCGUGGUUCAAACUUGCCCCCGCAA